UACGAAGGGGGCGAGCGUUGUUCGGAGUUACUGGGCGUAAAGGGCUCGUAGGCGGCCAACUAAGUCAGACGUGAAAUCCCUCGGCUUAACCGGGGAACUGCAUCUGAUACUGGAUGGCUUGAGUUCGGGAGAGGGAUGCGGAAUUCCAGGUGUAGCGGUGAAAUGCGUAGAUAUCUGGAGGAACACCGGUGGCGAAGGCGGGUCUCUGGGCAACUACUGACGCUGAGGAGCGAAAGCGUGGGGAGCGAACAGG
rnacentral:rRNA from 1 species